rnacentral:rRNA from 1 species
GUUUGACCUCAAAUCAGGUAGGAAUACCCGCUGAACUUAAGCAUAUCAAUAAGCGGAGGAAAAGAAACCAACCGGGAUUGCCUUAGUAACGGCGAGUGAAGCGGCAAAAGCUCAAAUUUGAAAUCUGGCGUCUUCGACGU